rnacentral:rRNA from 1 species
GGCCUAACACAUGCAAGUCGAGGGAGAACGGAGGGCUUCGGCCUUCCUAGUAAACCGGCGCACGGGUGAGUAACACGUAGGUAACCUACCCCCGAGCUCGGGAUAACCUGUCGAAAGAUAGGCUAAUACCGGAUGAGACCACGUUGGUUUCGGCCAAUGCGGUCAAAGAUGGCCUCUAUUUAUACGCUAUCACUCGAGGAUGGGCCUGCGCACCAUUAGCUAGUUGGUGAGGUAACGGCUCACCAAGGCUACGAUGGUUAGUUGGUCUGAGAGGAUGACCAGCCACACUGGGACUGAGACACGGCCCAGACUCCUACGGGAGGCAGCAGUGGGGAAUAUUGCGCAAUGGGGGCAACCCUGACGCAGCCAUGCCGCGUGAAUGAAGAAGGCCUUCGGGUUGUAAAGUUCUUUCGGUAGCGAGGAAGGCAUUUAGUUUAAUAGACUAGGUGA